UACGGGGGGGGCAAGCGUUGUUCGGAAUUACUGGGCGUAAAGGGCUCGUAGGUGGCCAACUAAGUCAGACGUGAAAUCCCUCAGCUUAACUGGGGAACUGCGUCUGAUACUGGAUGGCUUGAGUUUGGGAGAGGGAUGCGGAAUUCCAGGUGUAGCGGUGAAAUGCGUAGAGAUGUGGAGGAACACCUGUGGCGAAGGCGCCUUGCUGGCCGAUUUCUGACGCUGAGGCGCGAAAGCGUGGGGAGCAAACAGG
rnacentral:rRNA from 1 species